rnacentral:rRNA from 1 species
GAUGAACGCUGGCGGCGUGCCUAAUACAUGCAAGUCGAGCGAACAGACGAGGAGCUUGCUCCUCUGACGUUAGCGGCGGACGGGUGAGUAACACGUGGAUAACCUACCUAUAAGACUGGGAUAACUUCGGGAAACCGGAGCUAAUACCGGAUAAUAUAUUGAACCGCAUGGCUCAAUAGUGAAAGACGGUUUUGCUGUCACUUAUAGAUGGAUCCGCGCCGCAUUAGCUAGUUGGUAAGGUAACGGCUUACCAAGGCGACGAUGCGUAGCCGACCUGAGAGGGUGAUCGGCCACACUGGAACUGGGACACGGUCCAGACUCCUACGGGAGGCAGCAGUAGGGAAUCUUCCGCAAUGGGCGAAAGCCUGACGGAGCAACGCCGCGUGAGUGAUGAAGGUCUUCGGAUCGUAAAACUCUGUUAUUAGGGAAGAACAAAUGUGUAAGUAACUAUGCACGUCUUGACGGUACCUAAUCAGAAAGCCACGGCUAACUACGUG